GGCAGAUCCAUUUUCUGCCACCGAAUACAUUAGCAUGGGAUAAUGGAAUAGGACCCUGUCCUCCUAUUUUCAGUUGGUUUUGGCAGCGCGAGGACUAGGGUAAUGAUUAAUAGGGAUAGUUGGGGGCAUUAAUAUUUAAUUGUCAGAGGUGAAAUUCUUGGAUUUAUGAAAGAUUAACUUCUGCGAAAGCAUCUGCCAAGGAUGUUUUCAUUAAUCAAGAACGAAAGUUAGGGGAUCGAAGACGAUCAGAUACCGUCGUAGUCUUAACCAUAAACGAUGCCGACCAGCGAUUAGGAGACGUUGAAUACAAAACACCACCAUCGGCGCGGUCGUCCUUGGCGUCUGUCCCUUUCAACGGGGGCAGGCGCGAGGGCGGUUUAGCCCGGUGGCACCGGUGAAUGACUCCCCUAGCASCUUGUGAGAA
rnacentral:rRNA from 1 species